rnacentral:rRNA from 1 species
GAAUCUUUCGCAAUGGACGAAAGCCCGACGGAGCAACGCCGCGUGAGUGAAGAAGGUUUUCGGAUCGGAAAACUCUGUUGUCGGAGAAGAACAAGGAGGAGAGUAACUGUACCUACCUUGACGGUACCCGACCAGAAAUCCACGGAGAAAUACGAGACAGAAGCCGCGGUAAUACGUAGUUGGCAAACUUUGUCCGGAUUUAUUGGGCGUAAAGCGAGCGCAGGUGGUUUCGUAAGUCUGAUGUGAAAGCCCACGGCUCAACCGUGGAAGGUCAUUGGAAACUGGGGAACUUGAAUGCAGAAGAGGAGAGUGGAAUUCCAUGUGUAGCGGUGAAAUGCGUAGAUAUAUGGAGGAACACCAGUGGCGAAGGCGACUCUCUGGUCUGUUAUUGACACUGAGGCUCGAAAGCGUGGGGAGCAAACA